rnacentral:lncRNA from 7 species
UUAUAGUAAGACUAAGAUUAACAUAUAUUUAUGGGAUUAUUCACAUAUAAAAUAACUCAUUUGAAUUUAAUAUACAUGUUUUGUUUGAGAACUACCGCAGCAGCAUGGGCAAAUACAUAGUUAAAGAUAGACUUCAGGGAUUAGCUUGCAAAUCAACCAUUAUCUACUACCUCAGCUUCUAGCUUCUUCCCUGUUCCAAGUGCAGCAGGGAACCAUGUCGGACGAUGGGGGCUGGACAGGGGAAGUCGACGCAGGGGUGGUGAUGUGUUGGGAACGACCGACGAUUGGAGCUGCGCACCAGCGGCGAGGUCAAAGGGAAGCGCGUUGUCGGGCUUCGAAGCGUCCUCACCGGCGGCGGUGAACAGCAGCAACAGCGUGGCGACUUCGUGGGCAGCGAGUAGGGACACGGAGGUGGAAAAUGGGGGUCGGGGCAGGUGCUUGAAGGCGUGGGCUUCUCAAUUUAUAGGCGACGGGAGAGGAAGAUUUGUGGCCGAAUUAAUGUGGAUUGAAGAUGAGAAACGGAGGAUUUGAACGCCAUUAAUGGAGGAAACGGUCGGUUCUAAUGGGCCAGUAAUCCGAGCU